AACGCGCUUCAGAUUUCGCUUGCGGAUGUUGGUCGACAGUUGGAUACGCAGUUUCCUUUGUUUUGAACGUUUUGAACAUACACGGUUGAACCAUUUGAAAGUGCAUUUGUUAAAAAUCAUAAAAUUAGCAUGUUUAAGAACAGAAAAUCAACACUGCUUCAUAAGAGAACUUCCGCUUUAACAGCGAUUAAUGAAAAUACAGAGGGAGAUGGACAACAAUGCCAGAAAAUCCAGCGGCUCGAUAGCGUGACAGAUAAACAGGAUAAUUUGGCCAGUAGUCAAUUUUCGAUUCCGGCGAGUCAGGUAAACAGUCAGCGGCGGUAUCUUUCCCAGCGAAGCAACCUUCAAAAAUCCCAAAGUGCAAGAACCUCACGUCGAGUUCCAACAAAUUAUUUCGAAAGCAUCCUACUCAAAUGCCAAUUGGAUCUUGACGAUCCAACUUCGAUUGUGCUAAAAUGUGAGCCGAUAAUGUUCGUCCGCAGAUUGCGUACAAUGCUGCAAUCUAAUCCCGAGUAUCCACGAAACGUGAAAGAUUUUGUGCAUGGUGUUGAGCUGGCGAGUAAGACCCCGGAGUCUCUGCGGAAGCUUCUUGAGUGCUGUCAAUUCCAGAACCCGACAACGCAUGAGUUGAAACCACUACAAGAGAGCGUAAUGAAGUUGUUGCUUUGCGUCGAUUUCAUGCAGCUGGAACUGAUAAUUCUGUUGUUGAAUUGUGUGGAGAAAGCCGCCGUAGUGGAAACCGAGAUCAGCAUGACAGGGAUGAUUUUAUCACAGAUUAAAUUCAUUGACCACACAUUGCAUGGAAAGUUUGUGUUCGAUAAGUUUUUCGAUGUCCUUGGGCAAUCCAGUAACAUGCAGCUGCAUAGAGAGGCAAUCGCUUCAUUGAGGGAUGUGAUCGAUGUUUCAAUGCAUGAUUCUGCGUUCAGGAAGAUUGUGGAGCUACUACCGGCAGCGGACGACCUGUUCACUGUGACAAACGUUGCUGUGUUUUACGAGAUGUAUUUGAGUAGUGCAACCCUUGGAAUGGUCAGACAGAAGAUUGUAGAUUUGGUAGAAAGUGGAUGCCAGAUUGAAAUAUAUCCAUCACUAAUUAAAUUUCUUCUGAAGUAUAACAGCAGUGACCAUGACGAUCUCCACGAAAGCAUUCAAGAAACGCGACAGGUCGUUGAUAAGUUUGUUCAAAUUUGGAGUAGCGAUUCAAGCGAGACGUAUUUGUUGGAAAUUUUUCAAACAAUUUACCAGGCCCUUACGGUUUCAACGGCGCUUUAUGAAGCAUGGGUAAAAUAUAGUCGACUGUUGACCGACGAUGAAUCGCAUAUGUCACUCGAUUUAUUAAUAUUAUUGAUGAUACUCAGUGUAAAUGAGAUUAAGAGUAAUAGUAUUCAGAAGAUGCUGAUCAAUAAGAUUAAAAGACGUCACCUUACGGUUACGCACAUGAAAGAGUUGACGAAGUACUUCGGAUGUGUUCUGACAAUCCAUAUGGAUUGUGUGCUAGACUUCAUUGAAUCGUGUUUAAAGGAAAGACAAAUCGAGAUCUGUGAAUUCGGCGUGAAAUCUAUAAGCUGCCUAUUCUCAGCGGGUAACACAAAUAAUAAAACGGUGCUGAAGAAAUUGAUUGGAUUUAUGUGCGAAAUGGCGUUGGUGAACGAAGGCCGCCGGAAUGAUCAAUUAAUCGCUACAUGUACGAGUGCUCAAUCGGAUAUCCAUCAUCAGUUUCCUGACGAUAUCAAGAAUAAUGCGCACGUUUUAUUGAAAAUAAUGGAUGUAUCUACUGACCUGAAUCUGCAUCAAUACAGAUCCGCAGUAAGUUUGAUCUGCGAUGCAAUAGAUGUUCCGGACAAUCCGUUAGAUGACAGCGAAGCAUGGGAUAAUAUGAAUAUCGUCAUUAGAAAGCAACUUUUGAGUAACAAUAAGGAUGUUAAGAAAAAAGGCGUUGUUGGUGUCGUUCGUUUGAUUCAGCAUCUGCUUAAAAGUAAGUCGGGUAGUGCAGAACUGCCAUGUAGCUUUGAUUCGGAGAAAACGAUUGAGUCAGCAAGUGAUAUUCCGACUGCAGCGGGAAAAGAAAUCGCAAACCUGAUCAAUAUGAUGCUUGCAUCCGCCAAUGAGUCAACGGAAAUACUGGCACUGUGUUACGACGAGAUAGCCGAUAUGUUACGGGAAUUUGAAAUCAAGGUCGGAAAACCAGAAAAGGCCUUCAGCAUUUGGCUCUGCGAUGUAAUCACAGGUGAAUUUCAAUCUCACUUUAUCGUUGAAGAAAUACCAAAAGGAAACGUGAUACAGUUCGCUAAAAAGCUGUGCAUUAAUGACACAUCCGAUGUUGAAAAUAUGAAUGCUGAAGCGCACGCCAUAGCCAUUAACAUAACUGAGAGUAUCCUGGCGAUGAAUAGUAGAUAUUCUUCGAUGUGCUUUUUUCUUUCCAUGUUUAAACUUAUGAAAUCGUUGCAAUCGAUCCGGUAUAACGGGAACCUGGAAUCCAUCAACGCACUGCUCGGGUGCUCGAUAAUUGUUCCUAUUUUCUAUGGUGAAACUGAAGAGGAGAAUCUGCUUGAAGUCUACGAAGAACAUGUCUGCAGGCAAUUACUUGACGCCUAUUUUUACGUAUCGAAUUGGUUUCGUGAGCUGAUAAAUGCGUUUAUAGAGCAAAGCGAUUCUCUCACGCAUCGGAAAGUUCUACAGCGGUUGACGGGGCUUGUACAACUUGAACAACGUCUGGGUGGACUAUUAAGAUCUAAAGAUUUCGAGUACUAUCCCCCUGCAUGUGAUUUUUCUGCAAACACUCAAAUGAAACCAACGAAAUCUACCAAAGAAACGUCUUCUAAACAAAAUACCACAAUUAACACCACCAAAACACAAACAAACGUAACGCAAAAAACUCGCAAAAAUGACAUUCAAAUUUUUUGUGAAGAAACGGUUUUCAUGCGAUAUCGAAGUGGUUUCAGAGCAAUGGAGAAACAAAUAAUACAGCUUUUGCGAGAACCCUUGAUUCUCUGCCAUAAACUUCCGCACGAUAAAAUAGGAGAAUGCUUGAGUCUCAGUGAAUACCGAUUUCUGUUAGAAACCAUUCUGACUGAAAUUGAAACUCGAGUCGUUACACGAACAAUGCAUCUUUCUAUUUAUAGGCUCAACGAUGUUCGUUCUGUAUUGCCUUCUUUGGUUGGGAAUUUCACCGAAAUUAAGACAAAACUAUACGAAUACAAACACUCAACGAAUGCCAACAUUCAUUUGGACCAGGAUGCUUCGAGUUGCUGUUUCAAUUGGACCCUUCGUGUGUUCACAGCUAUUUUGCAAAUGGAGAGAAGCUCACCGGAGAACAUUGACGCAACCUUGGAGCCACUCAGCAAACUCAUACACUCCGCUGGAGAGCGGCCAAAUAAUGAAGACACCGUGAAACAAAUACUGGCCUCUGAGCUCACGCACAAAAAUGCCUUCAAAAGUCUUCACAGCGCAAGUUGUCUUUAUAAAUUCGGCCAAGCCUUGAACGGUCUUGUACCAACGCAAGAAGGAAUUUCCACCAUCGCCACGUUUUGCCAGAAUUUUAUUUGCACUAACUUCCAGCAAAAAACUGGCAAUGCAGUCCAAUUAACGCUCCUACUACAAGGCAUCUUUGUAACAGUCAAUUUCGCCAAAAUCAAAAAGCUUACUCACGCUUUGGAAGAUGAUCUAAGCGUGCCCACAUCCGACGAACGAAACUAUCUCGGCUUACAGCGCGGUCACUAUGCUUUACUAUUCAAGGAACUUUGUAAAGCAUUCGUUAAGUGUAUCCAGGGUGAGAUCAGAGCUAAGAAAACUACCGUGCAAAAAUUUGUAUCAUGGGAGCAGUCAUCCGAAAUUCUAAAGCAGUUAUCUGAUGUUGCUAAAAAGGCGGAAAAUUUUAAAAUCUAUUGCUGUUAUAUGAAAUAUGCGCACACGUUUCUAAAACUAUUUCAACAGUACGGAUUGAAGACGCUGGAAGACGUAUUGAAAGUUUCCGCUGAUAGAGUCAGUCAUCUGUUGGGCGUUCUACAGCACAGCACUCGCUAUCUGCACAACAUUUGUUGCCACUCAAAAAAUGCCAAGGAUAAAAUAUUGGCGGCACAGAUUCCGUUCAUACGGGAAACGGUUGAAACGCUUAUUUACAGCGUAAAAGCGAUUCUCGCUGCUAAUAAUUGUGCUUCGGUGUUCUGGAUGGGUAAUCUGAAGAAUAAGGAUUUGAAAGGAAUAUUGAUAAUUUCUCAGGAAGAGGAUGAGGUAGCUGAGAACAAUGAAUCAGAUAUUGAGGAUUAUCUUAGUGACGAUGACGAGAAUCAGUUAUGUACCUCUUUGAGAAGGACCGAUUCUGGCGCUAAAUCAUCGCAGAGCAAAUGCUUCUAGGGUUUUAGAGAUAGUAAUAAAGUAUAAGAAAAUGGCCGUGACCGGAAAAUAUCUCCUCAGAGAACAACAGCAACAGAAACUACCGUUCAGAAAAAGUGUAGGGGAACCGCGGGUAAUACGGACAGUGGGAGUAAUAUGGACAGGCUCAGUUACAUAGGUUUAAAGGAGCCGAACUCCUUACUGUAUUGUUACUAGUAUAUAUACAUUUUUCCUUAAUUCUAAUGUUAAUAAUAUAGGAAACCGAUUACUCGCGGUCAACUCGAGUUUAGAAGGGUGACAUAUUUUCUUCAGGAAAAGGAGGGGAUAUGAGGAUAUGUUGACAUUGAUCACACUCACACUCUCAAUCACACUCAUCACACUCAAUUCUUAAACCUAUCUUAUAUCUAAUAUGUAUUUACAUUUCAUCUUAUUCUUAAGAAGGGAUCCGAUCUCUCACAAAGGAAAAGGAAAAGGAAAAACUAAGGGUAUAAGGACAAUCACACACGAAGAUCGAUAGCUUUAAGGAAUACAUAUAUUUGGGACAUGUAAUCAAGGUCUAACCGAGCCAACACGUCUCUCACCGGCACAUUGGGCUGCCUUCCUCGGGCCCGAAGGGUGACUACUAAAUUCGAUCUGGCGACAAGAUACAGCUCGCACGACCAAACAACGUGCUCGAUGUCGUGGUAACCUUGGCCACAAACACAAAGAUUGUUGUCGGCAAGAUUAAUACGAAAGAGUAGCGCAUCUAACGAACAGUGAUUGGACAUGAGUCGGGAGAAGGUGCGAAUAAAGUCCCGACUCAAGUCCAGACUUUUGAACCAUGGUUUGAGGCUAACCUUAGGGAUAAUCGAGUGAAACCACCGGCCCAAUUCAUCUUCGUUCCAUUUGCGUUGCCAGUUAACUAUGGUAUUUUUGCGGACUAAAGAAUAAAAUUCAUUGAAGGCGAUUUGACGCUGAUAAAUAUCGCCUUCAAUUGCACCUACCUUUGCUAAUGAGUCAGCCCUCUCAUUACCCAGAAUUGAGCAAUGUGAAGGGACCCAGACAAAGGUAAUGACAUAACAGCGUCUGGAUAAAGCACUCAAAUUUUCUCGUAUUCUCUCAAGGAAGUACGGCGAGUGCUUUUCCGGCCUCACUGAACGGAUAGCUUCGACAGAGCUAAGACUAUCCGUUACAAUGUAAUAGUGUUCAACAGGUCGUGAGGCGACGCUGUCCAGCGCCCAGUGUAUCGCUGCCAAUUCAGCAAUAUACACUGAGCAAGGAUUCUGAAGACUGUGUGAGGUGCUAAAAAAUUCGUUGAACACUCCAAAUCCUGUGGACUCAUUCAUAGAGGACCCAUCAGUAAAGUACAUAUUAUCACAAUUGAUAUCCCCAUACUUUGCAUCGAAGAUCGUUGGAACGAUCCUCGAUCGAAGAUAAUCUGAUGUUCCAUGGAUAUCCUGCUUCAUGGACAGAUCAAAAUGCACAAAGGAAUUGAUGUAGUCAGGAAAACAAACACGGUUGGGAAUAUACGAAGAAGGAUCAACCUGCAUGGAGACGAAUUCAUGAUAUGAGCUCAUGAAUCCAGAAUGAAAAUUUAGCUCGAUCAGCUGCUCAAAAUUUCCGAUCACCAAUGGGUUCAUAACCUUACACCGGAUGAGGAACCGAAGAGAUAAUAAAUUGAAGCGAUCUUUUAGUGGGAGUA